rnacentral:rRNA from 1 species
UACGUAGGGGGCUAGCGUUGUCCGGAAUCAUUGGGCGUAAAGCGCGUGUAGGCGGUCCGGUAAGUCCGCUGUGAAAGUCGGGGGCUCAACCCUCGGAUGCCGGUGGAUACUGUCGGGCUUGAGUACGGAAGAGGCGAGUGGAAUUCCUGGUGUAGCGGUGAAAUGCGCAGAUAUCAGGAGGAACACCGAUUGCGAAGGCAGCUCGCUGGGACGUAACUGACGCUGAGACGCGAAAGCGUGGGGAGCAAACAGG